CCUACGGGAGGCAGCAGUGGGGAAUAUUGGACAAUGGGCGCAAGCCUGAUCCAGCAAUGCCGCGUGAGUGAUGAAGGCCUUCGGGUUGUAAAGCUCUUUCGGCGGGGACGAUGAUGACGGUACCCGCAGAAGAAGCCCCGGCUAACUUCGUGCCAGCAGCCGCGGUAAUACGAAGGGGGCUAGCGUUGUUCGGAAUUACUGGGCGUAAAGGGCGCGUAGGCGGCGCGUUAAGUCAGGCGUGAAAUCCCCGGGCUCAACCUGGGAAUAGCGCUUGAGACUGGCGCGCUCGAGUUCGGGAGAGGAUGGUGGAAUUCCCAGUGUAGAGGUGAAAUUCGUAGAUAUUGGGAAGAACACCGGUGGCGAAGGCGGCCAUCUGGACCGACACUGACGCUGAGGCGCGAAAGCGUGGGGAGCAAACAGGAUUAGAUACCCCAGUAGUC
rnacentral:rRNA from 1 species